rnacentral:rRNA from 1 species
UUGCCCCGAGAUGAGUUCUCCCUGACUCCUUGAGAGUCCUGAAGGAACGUUGAAGACGACGACGUUGAUAGGCCGGGUGUGUAAGCGCAGCGAUGCGUUGAGCUAACCGGUACUAAUGAACCGUGAGGCUUAACCUUACAACGCCGAAGRUGUU